UACGUAGGGGGCAAGCGUUGUCCGGAAUUACUGGGCGUAAAGCGCGUGUAGGCGGGCCGAUAAGUCGGACGUGAAAUCCCUGGGCUCAACCCAGGAACUGCAUCCGAAACUGUCAGUCUGGAGUGGUGGAGAGGGAAGCAGAAUUCCUGGUGUAGAGGUGAAAUUCGUAGAUAUCAGGAGGAACACCGGUGGCGAAGGCGGCUUCCUGGACACUAACUGACGCUGAGACGCGAAAGCGUGGGGAGCAAACAGG
rnacentral:rRNA from 1 species